CACGUAGGGUGCGAGCGUUGUCCGGAAUUAUUGGGCGUAAAGAGCUCGUAGGCGGUGUGUCGCGUCGGCCGUGAAAACCUGCAGCUUAACUGUGGGCUUGCGGUCGAUACGGGCAUCACUGGAGUUCGGCAGGGGAGACUGGAAUUCCUGGUGUAGCGGUGAAGUGCGCAGAUAUCGGGAGGAAUACCGAUGGCGAAGGCAGGUCUCUGGGCUGACACUGACGCUCAUGCACGAAAGCGUGGGGAGCAAACAGG
rnacentral:rRNA from 1 species